rnacentral:misc_RNA from 1 species
AAGUCGUAACAAGGUUUCCGUAGGUGAACCUGCGGAAGGAUCAUUAUCACGUUUAAUUCUAAACGUUUAUCACAACGCGUUAUGUUUUCAAUCAUCUCCCGCCUGCCUACAUGUAUCGGCGACGUGCUAAGUGAGGGUAUGGGAUGGGUUUAGUCGAGAGGCUAUCCGAACUCACACACGAACACGCUCAUUCGAAAGGAUGAGUAAACGAUAGUAGUAGGUACGCGGCUAGCUGCGAAUGAGUAGGCCCGUCUAUCCUGGGGACAAAAAUUCGUGGCACAUCUUUUUCUAACUAUUUUCACCUAAAUUUUUGCUAAUUUGACUUUAUCUGCUUGUCUUCUCUCUUCAUUGAGAGGUGCGGCACGUUUAAUUAUCUAAUUGAACGUUAAAAUCAAUACAACUCUUAGCAAUGGAUAUCUUGGUUCUC